rnacentral:rRNA from 1 species
CCUACGGGAGGCAGCAGUGGGGAAUAUUGGACAAUGGGCGCAAGCCUGAUCCAGCAAUGCCGCGUGAGUGAUGAAGGCCUUAGGGUUGUAAAGCUCUUUCGCACGCGACGAUGAUGACGGUAGCGUGAGAAGAAGCCCCGGCUAACUUCGUGCCAGCAGCCGCGGUAAUACGAAGGGGGCUAGCGUUGUUCGGAAUUACUGGGCGUAAAGGGCGCGUAGGCGGCCUGUUUAGUCAGAAGUGAAAGCCCCGGGCUCAACCUGGGAAUAGCUUUUGAUACUGGCAGGCUUGAGUUCCGGAGAGGAUGGUGGAAUUCCCAGUGUAGAGGUGAAAUUCGUAGAUAUUGGGAAGAACACCGGUGGCGAAGGCGACCAUCUGGACGGACACUGACGCUGAGGCGCGAAAGCGUGGGGAGCAAACAGAAUUAGAUACCCUGGUAGUCCACGCCGUAAACGAUGAAUGCUAGACGUCGGGGUGCAUGCACUUCGGUGUCGCCGCUAACGCAUUAAGCAUUCCGCCUGGGGAUCGGCCGCAAGGUUAAACUUAAAGGAAUUGACGG